UUAAUUUGAGAGUUUGAUCCUGGCUCAGGACGAACGCUGGCGGCGUGCCUAAUACAUGCAAGUCGAACGAACUCUGGUAUUGAUUGGUGCUUGCAUCAUGAUUUACAUUUGAGUGAGUGGCGAACUGGUGAGUAACACGUGGGAAACCUGCCCAGAAGUGGGGGAUAACACCUGGAAACAGAUGCUAAUACCGCAUAACAACUUAGACCGCAUGGUCCGAGUUUGAAAGAUGGCUUCGGCUAUCACUUUUGGAUGGUCCCGCGGCGUAUUAGCUAGAUGGUGAGGUAACGGCUCACCAUGGCAAUGAUACGUAGCCGACCUGAGAGGGUAAUCGGCCACAUUGGGACUGAGACACGGCCCAAACUCCUACGGGAGGCAGCAGUAGGGAAUCUUCCACAAUGGACGAAAGUCUGAUGGAGCAACGCCGCGUGAGUGAAGAAGGGUUUCGGCUCGUAAAACUCUGUUGUUAAAGAAGAACAUAUCUGAGAGUAACUGUUCAGGUAUUGACGGUAUUUAACCAGAAAGCCACGGCUAACUACGUGCCAGCAGCCGCGGUAAUACGUAGGUGGCAAGCGUUGUCCGGAUUUAUUGGGCGUAAAGCGAGCGCAGGCGGUUUUUUAAGUCUGAUGUGAAAGCCUUCGGCUCAACCGAAGAAGUGCAUCGGAAACUGGGAAACUUGAGUGCAGAAGAGGACAGUGGAACUCCAUGUGUAGCGGUGAAAUGCGUAGAUAUAUGGAAGAACACCAGUGGCGAAGGCGGCUGUCUGGUCUGUAACUGACGCUGAGGCUCGAAAGUAUGGGUAGCAAACAGGAUUAGAUACCCUGGUAGUCCAUACCGUAAACGAUGAAUGCUAAGUGUUGGAGGGUUUCCGCCCUUCAGUGCUGCAGCUAACGCAUUAAGCAUUCCGCCUGGGGAGUACGGCCGCAAGGCUGAAACUCAAAGGAAUUGACGGGGGCCCGCACAAGCGGUGGAGCAUGUGGUUUAAUUCGAAGCUACGCGAAGAACCUUACCAGGUCUUGACAUACUAUGCAAAUCUAAGAGAUUAGACGUUCCCUUCGGGGACAUGGAUACAGGUGGUGCAUGGUUGUCGUCAGCUCGUGUCGUGAGAUGUUGGGUUAAGUCCCGCAACGAGCGCAACCCUUAUUAUCAGUUGCCAGCAUUAAGUUGGGCACUCUGGUGAGACUGCCGGUGACAAACCGGAGGAAGGUGGGGAUGACGUCAAAUCAUCAUGCCCCUUAUGACCUGGGCUACACACGUGCUACAAUGGAUGGUACAACGAGUUGCGAACUCGCGAGAGUAAGCUAAUCUCUUAAAGCCAUUCUCAGUUCGGAUUGUAGGCUGCAACUCGCCUACAUGAAGUCGGAAUCGCUAGUAAUCGCGGAUCAGCAUGCCGCGGUGAAUACGUUCCCGGGCCUUGUACACACCGCCCGUCACACCAUGAGAGUUUGUAACACCCAAAGUCGGUGGGGUAACCUUUUAGGAACCAGCCGCCUAAGGUGGGACAGAUGAUUAGGGUGAAGUCGUAACAAGGUAGCCGUAGGAGAACCUGCGGCUGGAUCACCUCCUUUCUAAGGAA
rnacentral:rRNA from 2 species